GACGAACGCUGGCGGCGUGCCUAUACAUGCCAGUCGGGCGGACGGAAGGGAGCUUGCUCCCAGACCGUCAGCGGCGGACGGGUGAGUAACACGUGGGCAACCUGCCUGUAAGACUGGGAUAACUCCGGGAAACCGGGGCUAAUACCGGAUAACUCUUUCCCUCACAUGAGGGAAAGCUGAAAGAUGGCAUCUCGCUAUCACUUACAGAUGGGCCCGCGGCGCAUUAGCUAGUUGGUGAGGUAACGGCUCACCAAGGCGACGAUGCGUAGCCGACCUGAGAGGGUGAUCGGCCACACUGGGACUGAGACACGGCCCAGACUCCUACGGGAGGCAGCAGUAGGGAAUCUUCCGCAAUGGACGAAAGUCUGACGGAGCAACGCCGCGUGAGUGAUGAAGGUUUUCGGAUCGUAAAACUCUGUUGUCAGGGAAGAACAAGUACCGGAGUAACUGCCGGUACCUUGACGGUACCUGACCAGAAAGCCACGGCUAACUACGU
rnacentral:rRNA from 1 species